UGGGGAAUAUUGCACAAUGGGCGCAAGCCUGAUGCAGCCAUGCCGCGUGUAUGAAGAAGGCCUUCGGGUUGUAAAGUACUUUCAGCGGGGAGGAAGGGAGUAAAGGUAAUACCUUUGCUCAUUGACGUUACCCGCAGAAGAAGCACCGGCUAACUCCGUGCCAGCAGCCGCGGUAAUACGGAGGGUGCAAGCGUUAAUCGGAAUUACUGGGCGUAAAGCGCACGCAGGCGGUUUGUUAAGUCAGCUGUUAAAUCCCCGGGCUCAACCUGGGAACUGCAUCUGUUACUGGCAAGCUUGAGUCUCGUAGAGGGGGGUAGAAUUCCAGGUGUAGCGGUGAAAUGCGUAGAGCUCUGGCGGAAUACCGGUGGCGAAGGCGGCCCCCUGGACGAAGACUGACGCUCAGGUGCGAAAGCGUGGGGAGCAAACAGG
rnacentral:rRNA from 1 species